GGUCCCUGAUUAUGUUGAUGGCCUUGCUGAGGCAGUGUAAAGUGUGGAUGGAGUCAAUGGAGAGAGGUUGGUUUGUGUGAUGGUCUGGGCUACGUCCACAACUCUCUGCAAUAUCUUGCGGUCUUGGAUGGAGCUGGUCCCAAACCAUGCAGUGAUGCAUCCUUUCAACAUGCUUUUUAUGGUGG